UACGAAGGGGGCUAGCGUUGCUCGGAAUCACUGGGCGUAAAGCGCACGUAGGCGGCUUUCUAAGUCAGGGGUGAAAUCCUGGAGCUCAACUCCAGAACUGCCUUUGAUACUGGAAAGCUUGAGUUCGGGAGAGGUGAGUGGAACUGCGAGUGUAGAGGUGAAAUUCGUAGAUAUUCGCAAGAACACCAGUGGCGAAGGCGACUUCCUGGCCUGUUCUUGACGCUGAGGCGCGAAAGCUAGGGGAGCAAACGGG
rnacentral:rRNA from 1 species